UGGCUAAAACCUAGCUCAAUUGGUUAGAGCAUGGUGUUGAUAACGCCAAGGUUGCAGGUUCGAUCACCAUAUUAGACAA